AGCGCGAGCGCUAGCGAGAGCACGCUCACUUUUUUUUUUGCGAGCGAGAGCUGAGCUACGCUCACUUUUCAGCACUGAGCGGAAAGCUCUGAGCGUGCUCUCAAAUCAGUAAGCUACUCCCAACUCUGGGUGGGGUUGAAAGAAUAUCAGGAAAAUGCUUCCUCGUUGCUGUCCCAGAUAGAUCUCCUGAUACCCUACUGGAUAUAAUCAAAGAAUGGAUAUUGCCUGGAUCUAUAAUAAUAUCGGAUUGCUGGAAAGCAUAUGAUAAGAUAGAGGAACAUAAUGAAUAUAUCCAUUUAAAAGUUAACCAUAGUUUACAUUUUAAAGAUCCCGAAACUGGAGCGCAUACUAAUCAAAUAGAGGGAUUGUGAAAUUUAGCAAAAAAAAAGUCUUCCGAACACAAAUACGAGUAAAAAAUUGUUUGCGGGUAAUUUAGCAUCUUUUAUGUUGCGCACGAAAUGGAAGGGCAAAGAUGGUUUUAAAUUAUUCAUGCAAUAUGCGGCAAAACUAUAUUCUGAACAUUCUGUUAGAGAAGAAACUGACGCAAAGCAAAUGAAGGAUUUGGAAUAGGAGUUUCAUCUACUAUCCAUGUAGAAUCGAAAAGAUUUGGUGAAUCAAUUGUGAAGAAUAAUUUAGUACCUCAUUUUUUGCUGGGGUGGAAUAAAGUGGAUGAUGUGAUGGUAUUUCAGUUGAUACAUUAGUUAUUUCUGUACAGUUUACUAUUGUGUUUGCUAUCAGUUCCUUCAAUUAGUUUAGAUCAGUUUUAGAGUUAAUGAAUGUUUAAAUAAUACAAUAGUUAUAUUUACACCGGUUAGAUUAGAAACAAAAAGAUUUGGUGAAUAAAUUAUGAAGGUACAUUCAGCUUGUUAUAAUUUAAUGGUGCUAAACUUAAAAAUUUUCUAUUGUAGAAUAAUUGAGUACCUCAUUUUUUGCUGGUGUGGAAUACAGUGGAUGAUGUGAUGGUAUUUCAGUUGAUACAUUAGUUGGUAUUUCAGUUGAUACAUUAGUUAUUUCUGUACAGUGUAAUAUUGUGUUUGCUAUCUGUUCCUUAAAUUAGUUUAGAUAAUAUUUAUUGUUUAUGAAUGUUAAAAUAAUACAAUAGUUAUAUUUACAUCGGUAAGAUUAGAAUCGAAAAGAUUUGGUGAAUCAAUUGUGAAGGUAAAUUCAGCUUGCUAUAAUUUAAUGAUGUUAAAUUUUAAAAUUUUGU